rnacentral:rRNA from 1 species
GGUAGUUUGACUGGGGCGGUCUCCUCCCAAAGCGUAACGGAGGAGCACGAAGGUUAGCUAAUCCUGGUCGGACAUCAGGAGGUUAGUGCAAUGGCAUAAGCUAGCUUGACUGCGAGCGUGACGGCGCGAGCAGGUGCGAAAGCAGGUCAUAGUGAUCCGGUGGUUCUGAAUGGAAGGGCCAUCGCUCAACGGAUAAAAGGUACUCCGGGGAUAACAGGCUGAUACCGCCCAAGAGUUCAUAUCGACGGCGGUGUUUGGCACCUCGAUGUCGGCUCAUCACAUCCUGGGGCUGAAGUAGGUCCCAAGGGUAUGGCUGUUCGCCAUUUAAAGUGGUACGCGAGCUGGGUUUAGAACGUCGUGAGACAGUUCGGUCCCUAUCUGCCGUGGGCGCUGGAGAAUUGAGGGGGGCUGCUCCUAGUACGAGAGGACCGGAGUGGACGCAUCACUGGUGUU